UUAAGCGACUAAGCGUACACGGUGGAUGCCCUGGCAGUCAGAGGCGAUGAAGGGCGUGCUAAUCUGCGAUAAGCGCCGGUAAGGUGAUAUGAACCGUUAUAACCGGCGAUACCCGAAUGGGGAAACCCAGUGUGACUCGUCACACUAUCAUUAACUGAAUCCAUAGGUUAAUGAGGCGAACCGGGGGAACUGAAACAUCUAAGUACCCCGAGGAAAAGAAAUCAACCGAGAUUCCCCCAGUAGCGGCGAGCGAACGGGGAGGAGCCCAGAGCCUGAAUCAGCAUGUGUGUUAGUGGAAGCGUCUGGAAAGGCGCGCGAUACAGGGUGACAGCCCCGUACACAAAAGCGCAUGUGCUGUGAGCUCGAUGAGUAGGGCGGGACACGUGGUAUCCUGUCUGAAUAUGGGGGACCAUCCUCCAAGGCUAAAUACUCCUGACUGACCGAUAGUGAACCAGUACCGUGAGGGAAAGGCGAAAAGAACCCCGGCGAGGGGAGUGAAAAAGAACCUGAAACCGUGUACGUACAAGCAGUGGGAGCCCCACCACUAAGCCAGUGGUGAACUCCACAUACGCAUCCUUUGCUGAAGGCAAUGGUUAACGGAGCGAAAGCGACGUUCAACCUCAAAAGAAGCUGAGGGGGCUUAGUGGUGGGGUGACUGCGUACCUUUUGUAUAAUGGGUCAGCGACUUAUAUUCUGUAGCAAGGUUAACCGAAUAGGGGAGCCGGAGGGAAACCGAGUCUUAAUUGGGCGUUAAGUUGCAGGGUAUAGACCCGAAACCCGGUGAUCUAGCCAUGGGCAGGUUGAAGGUUGGGUAACACUAACUGGAGGACCGAACCGACUAAUGUUGAAAAAUUAGCGGAUGACCUGUGGCUGGGGGUGAAAGGCCAAUCAAACCGGGAGAUAGCUGGUUCUCCCCGAAAGCUAUUUAGGUAGCGCCUCGUGAAUUCAUCUCCGGGGGUAGAGCACUGUUUCGGCUAGGGGGCCAUCCCGGCUUACCAACCCGAUGCAAACUGCGAAUACCGGAGAAUGUUAUCACGGGAGACACACGGCGGGUGCUAACGUCCGUCGUGAAGAGGGAAACAACCCAGACCGCCAGCUAAGGUCCCAAAGUCAUGGUUAAGUGGGAAACGAUGUGGGAAGGCCCAGACAGCCAGGAUGUUGGCUUAGAAGCAGCCAUCAUUUAAAGAAAGCGUAAUAGCUCACUGGUCGAGUCGGCCUGCGCGGAAGAUGUAACGGGGCUAAACCAUGCACCGAAGCUGCGGCAGCGACACUGUGUGUUGUUGGGUAGGGGAGCGUUCUGUAAGCCUGUGAAGGUGGCCUGUGAGGGUUGCUGGAGGUAUCAGAAGUGCGAAUGCUGACAUAAGUAACGAUAAAGCGGGUGAAAAGCCCGCUCGCCGGAAGACCAAGGGUUCCUGUCCAACGUUAAUCGGGGCAGGGUGAGUCGACCCCUAAGGCGAGGCCGAAAGGCGUAGUCGAUGGGAAACGGGUUAAUAUUCCCGUACUUGGUGUUACUGCGAAGGGGGGACGGAGAAGGCUAUGUUGGCCGGGCGACGGUUGUCCCGGUUUAAGCGUGUAGGCUGGUUUUCCAGGCAAAUCCGGAAAAUCAAGGCUGAGGCGUGAUGACGAGGCACUACGGUGCUGAAGCAACAAAUGCCCUGCUUCCAGGAAAAGCCUCUAAGCAUCAGGUAACAUCAAAUCGUACCCCAAACCGACACAGGUGGUCAGGUAGAGAAUACCAAGGCGCUUGAGAGAACUCGGGUGAAGGAACUAGGCAAAAUGGUGCCGUAACUUCGGGAGAAGGCACGCUGACACGUAGGUGAAGUGAUUUACUCAUGGAGCUGAAGUCAGUCGAAGAUACCAGCUGGCUGCAACUGUUUAUUAAAAACACAGCACUGUGCAAACACGAAAGUGGACGUAUACGGUGUGACGCCUGCCCGGUGCCGGAAGGUUAAUUGAUGGGGUCAGCGCAAGCGAAGCUCCUGAUCGAAGCCCCGGUAAACGGCGGCCGUAACUAUAACGGUCCUAAGGUAGCGAAAUUCCUUGUCGGGUAAGUUCCGACCUGCACGAAUGGCGUAAUGAUGGCCAGGCUGUCUCCACCCGAGACUCAGUGAAAUUGAACUCGCUGUGAAGAUGCAGUGUACCCGCGGCAAGACGGAAAGACCCCGUGAACCUUUACUAUAGCUUGACACUGAACAUUGAGCCUUGAUGUGUAGGAUAGGUGGGAGGCUUUGAAGCGUGGACGCCAGUCUGCGUGGAGCCGACCUUGAAAUACCACCCUUUAAUGUUUGAUGUUCUAACGUGGACCCGUUACCCGGGUUGCGGACAGUGUCUGGUGGGUAGUUUGACUGGGGCGGUCUCCUCCUAAAGAGUAACGGAGGAGCACGAAGGUUGGCUAAUCCUGGUCGGACAUCAGGAGGUUAGUGCAAUGGCAUAAGCCAGCUUGACUGCGAGCGUGACGGCGCGAGCAGGUGCGAAAGCAGGUCAUAGUGAUCCGGUGGUUCUGAAUGGAAGGGCCAUCGCUCAACGGAUAAAAGGUACUCCGGGGAUAACAGGCUGAUACCGCCCAAGAGUUCAUAUCGACGGCGGUGUUUGGCACCUCGAUGUCGGCUCAUCACAUCCUGGGGCUGAAGUAGGUCCCAAGGGUAUGGCUGUUCGCCAUUUAAAGUGGUACGCGAGCUGGGUUUAGAACGUCGUGAGACAGUUCGGUCCCUAUCUGCCGUGGGCGCUGGAGAACUGAGGGGGGCUGCUCCUAGUACGAGAGGACCGGAGUGGACGCAUCACUGGUGUUCGGGUUGUCAUGCCAAUGGCACUGCCCGGUAGCUAAAUGCGGAAGAGAUAAGUGCUGAAAGCAUCUAAGCACGAAACUUGCCCCGAGAUGAGUUCUCCCUGAGACUUUAGGUCUCCUGAAGGAACGUUGAAGACGACGACGUUGAUAGGCCGGGUGUGUAAGCGCAGCGAUGCGUUGAGCUAACCGGUACUAAUGAACCGUGAGGCUUAACCUU
rnacentral:rRNA from 1 species